rnacentral:rRNA from 1 species
AGAGUUUGAUCCUGGCUCAGAACGUACGCUGGCGGCACGCCUAAUACAUGCAAGUCGAACGAAGUAGCAAUACUUAGUGGCAGACGGGUGAGUAACAUGUAGGUAUCUACCCUUUGGUCUGGAAUAACACGAGGAAACUUGUGCUAAUACCGGAUAAGUCUUUACGGAGAAAGCUUUAUGCACCAUUGGAUGAGCCUGCACUUGAUUAGUUUGUUGGUGGGGUAAUGGCCUACCAAGACAAUGAUCAAUAGCUGAUUUGAGAGGAUGAUCAGCCACAUUGGGACUGAGACACGGCCCAAACUCCUACGGGAGGCAGCAGUAGGGAAUCUUGCACAAUGGAGGAAACUCUGAUGCAACGAUGCCGCGUGAGUGAAGAAGGCCUUUGGGUUGUAAAGCUCUUUCGUCGGGGAAGAAAAUGACUGUACCCGAAUAAGAAGGUCCGGCUAACUUCGUGCCAGCAGCCGCGGUAAUACGAAGGGACCUAGCGUAGUUCGGAAUUACUGGGCUUAAAGAGUUCGUAGGUGGUUAAAAAAGUUGGUGGUGAAAUCCCAGAGCUUAACUCUGGAACUGCCAUCAAAACUUUUUAGCUAGAGUAUGAUAGAGGAAAGCAGAAUUUCUAGUGUAGAGGUGAAAUUCGUAGAUAUUAGAAAGAAUACCGAUUGCGAAGGCAGCUUUCUGGAUCAUUACUGACACUGAGGAACGAAAGCAUGGGUAGCGAAGAGGAUUAGAUACCCUCGUAGUCCAUGCCGUAAACGAUGUGUGUUAGACGUUGGAAAUUUAUUUUCAGUGUCGCAGCGAAAGCGAUAAACACACCG